rnacentral:rRNA from 1 species
UACGGAGGAUGCGAGCGUUAUCCGGAUUUAUUGGGUUUAAAGGGUGCGUAGGCGGUUUUUUAAGUUAGUGGUUAAACGUCGGGGCUUCACCUUGAUUUGCCAUUAAUACUGUCAUGCUCGAGUACAGACGAGGUAGGCGGAAUAAGUUAAGUAGCGGUGAAAUGCAUAGAUAUAACUUAGAACUCCGAUCGCGAAGGCAGCUUACCAGACUGUAACUGACGCUGAAGCACGAGAGCGUGGGUAGCAAACAGG